GACGAACCGAGCGAACGUUGUUCGGAAUCACUGGGCUUAAAGGGCGCGUAGGCGGGCUGCCAAGUCUGUGGUGAAAUCCUCCAGCUUAACUGGAGAACGGCCGUGGAUACUGGCGGUCUCGAGGAAGGUAGGGGCGUGCGGAACUGUGCGUGGAGCGGUGAAAUGCGUUGAUAUGCACAGGAACUCCGGUGGCGAAGGCGGCACGCUGGACCUUUUCUGACGCUGAGGCGCGAAAGCCAGGGGAGCGAACGGG
rnacentral:rRNA from 1 species